UACGAGGGGGGCGAGCGUUGUUCGGAAUUAUUGGGCGUAAAGGGCGCGUAGGCGGUUGGAUAAGUCUUGUGUGAAAUCUUCGGGCUCAACUCGAAGUCUGCACGAGAAACUAUCUGGCUUGAGGGUUGGAGGGGGGACUGGAAUACUUGGUGUAGCAGUGAAAUGCGUAGAUAUCAAGUGGAACACCAGUGGCGAAGGCGAGUCCCUGGACAACUCCUGACACUGAGGCACGAAAGCUAGGGGAGCGAACAGG
rnacentral:rRNA from 1 species